rnacentral:lncRNA from 1 species
CGAAGACAAAUAACUUUCAACAUGCCAACUUGGUUUUACAAGGCUUAAGAUUCGUAAUUUGUUGCACUGUUGAAUCUGAUCUUUCCAUAUGGUAUUAUAUCUAUUACAUAAUUCAUUCUUAAUAGCGUUAGCUAAAUUACUAAUAUAUGUUGAUCUUUUUCAAACUCCGCCGGAAAACAUCGUCCUUAGAUCUUUGCAUGGACUAGGGCCAUUCCAUUUAAUGUACACACCCCCCUGUGGACGAAGUCAAUAAAAUUUGAACCCCUAAGAAAAAAAUAUCAAAGUGCCGACACA